AGGAAUUUUCCGCAAUGGGCGAAAGCCUGACGGAGCAAUGCCGCGUGGAGGUGGAAGGCCUACGGGUCGUCAACUUCUUUUCUCGGAGAAGAAACAAUGACGGUAUCUGAGGAAUAAGCAUCGGCUAACUCUGUGCUAG
rnacentral:rRNA from 1 species